rnacentral:rRNA from 1 species
ACAACUUUUAACAACGGAUCUCUUGGUUCUCGCAUCGAUGAAGAACGUAGCAAAGUGCGAUAACUAGUGUGAAUUGCAUAUUCAGUGAAUCAUCGAGUCUUUGAACGCAACUUGCGCUCAUUGGUAUUCCAAUGAGCACGCCUGUUUCAGUAUCAA